GAAAUGCGAUAAGUAAUGUGAAUUGCAGAAUUCAGUGAAUCAUCGAAUCUUUGAACGCACAUUGCGCCCGUCAGCAUUCUGGCGGGCAUGCCUGUUCGAGCGUCAUUUCAACCCUCAGGACCCCCCUUUCGCGGGGAGGGACCUGGCGUUGGGGAUCGGCCCGCCCCCCGUGGCGGCGCCGUCCCCGAAAUCUAGUGGCGGUCUCGCUGCAGCCUCCCCUGCGUAGUAGUUACAACCUCGCAUCGGAGUGCGGCGCGGCCACGCCGUAAAACCCCCGACUUUCUGAACGUUGACCUCGGAUCAGGUAGGAAUACCCGCUGAACUUAAGC
rnacentral:misc_RNA from 1 species